rnacentral:rRNA from 1 species
UGCAUCGGAACGUGCCCAUGUCGUGGGGGAUAACGUAGCGAAAGCUACGCUAAUACCGCAUACGCCCUGAGGGGGAAAGCGGGGGAUUCUUCGGAACCUCGCGCGAUUGGAGCGGCCGAUGUCGGAUUAGCUAGUAGGUGAGGUAAAGGCUCACCUAGGCGACGAUCCGUAGCGGGUCUGAGAGGAUGAUCCGCCACACUGGGACUGAGACACGGCCCAGACUCCUACGGGAGGCAGCAGUGGGGAAUUUUGGACAAUGGGCGCAAGCCUGAUCCAGCCAUGCCGCGUGAGUGAAGAAGGCCUUCGGGUUGUAAAGCUCUUUCGGCCGGGAAGAAAUCGUGGUCUCUAACAUAGGCCAUGGAUGACGGUACCGGACUAAGAAGCACCGGCUAACUACGUG